GAGUUUGAUCCUGGCUCAGAACGAACGCUGGCGGCAGGCUUAACACAUGCAAGUCGAACGAAGUCUUCGGACUUAGUGGCGGACGGGUGAGUAACGCGUGGGAACGUGCCCUUUGGUACAGAAUAGCCCCUGGAAACGGGGAGUAAUACCGUAUGGUGUCUUCGGACUAAAGAUUUAUCGCCAAAGGAUCGGCCCGCGUUGGAUUAGGUAGUUGGUGGGGUAAUGGCCUACCAAGCCGACGAUCCAUAGCUGGUUUGAGAGGAUGAUCAGCCACACUGGGACUGAGACACGGCCCAGACUCCUACGGGAGGCAGCAGUGGGGAAUCUUAGACAAUGGGGGCAACCCUGAUCUAGCCAUGCCGCGUGAUCGAUGAAGGCCUUAGGGUUGUAAAGAUCUUUCGCUGGGGAAGAUAAUGACGGUACCCAGUAAAGAAGCCCCGGCUAACUCCGUGCCAGCAGCCGCGGUAAUACGGAGGGGGCUAGCGUUGUUCGGAAUUACUGGGCGUAAAGCGCGCGUAGGCGGACUGGAAAGUUGGGGGUGAAAUCCCGGGGCUCAACCCCGGAACUACCUCCAAAACUAUCAGUCUGGAGUUCGAGAGAGGUGAGUGGAAUUGCGAGUGUAGUGGUGAAAUUCGUAGAUAUUCGCAGGAACACCAGUGGCGAAGGCGGCCCACUGGCUCGAUACUGACGCUGAGGUGCGAAAGUGUGGGGAGCAAACAGGAUUAGAUACCCUGGUAGUCCACACCGUAAA
rnacentral:rRNA from 1 species